ensembl:snoRNA
CUGGCCCUGAAUCAAGGCCGGCAGUUUUCUGAAGCUCUUGGUUUCAAGCAGGAGCCUAAAGAGAUGUCUUUCUAUGGUCUGUUGGCCAUUUCAGAACUUGGCAAAUGGAAUAGUCAAUUCAUUAGAAAGAAACAGUA